GACGAACGCUGGCGGCGUGCUUAACACAUGCAAGUCGAACGGUAGGGCCCUUCGGGGUACACGAGUGGCGAACGGGUGAGUAACACGUGGGUGAUCUGCCCUGCACUUCGGGAUAAGCCUGGGAAACUGGGUCUAAUACCGGAUAGGACUCCGGACUGCAUGGUCUGGGGUGGAAAGCUUUUGCGGUGUGGGAUGGGCCCGCGGCCUAUCAGCUUGUUGGUGGGGUGAUGGCCUACCAAGGCGACGACGGGUAGCCGGCCUGAGAGGGUGACCGGCCACACUGGGACUGCGAUACGGCCCAGACUCCUACGGGAGGCAGCAGUGGGGAAUAUUGCACAAUGGGCGCAAGCCUGAUGCAGCGACGCCGCGUGAGGGACGACGGCCUUCGGGUUGUAAACCUCUUUCAGCAUCGACGAAGCGAAAGUGACGGUAGGUGCAGAAGAAGGACCGGCCAACUACGUGCCAGCCGCCGCCGUAA
rnacentral:rRNA from 1 species